GUCAAAAGAAGUAUAUUUGAUAUACAUGAUGUUGAUGUGUACUUUACUAGUACUCCUAGUAGCACGAGGGUAUUGGAUACCGGUUCGGUUGCUAAGUGAUUAGUGACACGAAAUGAAAGCUACGGCAUAAACGGAGACUAGCUAAAGUGUGACAGCCCGAUGCAGACGUUCCAGAAGAUUCCCCCUUUAUUCCGUUUCCGUCGUGUGUUUAGUUUUAUUCGUUGCAUCGUCAUGUAGUUGCAUCAUCGCAUCAUGCAUGGCAUCAUGUCAACUGUGUUAUUUGUUGGUGUUGC
rnacentral:lncRNA from 1 species